GGUUGAGGGUGAGUGCUAUGGGAUGGGGCUCCCGGCCCUGUGGCUGGGCUGCUCACCUGCCCCCUCACCCCCCUCCC
rnacentral:miRNA from 12 species